ensembl:lncRNA
AUAAGCUGUUUAGAAGUAUGUUGUUAAUUUUUCAGGAGCUUUUGCCUUUUCUGAAAUUUCUUCUAUUGUUGAUUUACAUUUUCAUUGCAUAGUGUUCUGAUAGAGGCAUGGGGUGAUUUCAAUUCUUUUGUAUUUACUUAAGCAGGCUUUGUGGGCUAGUAUGAGAUCUAUUUUUGGAAAAGCAUCAUGUGUUGCUGAAAAGAAUGUAUGCUCUGUUUAGAGGGGUGGAAUACUUUGUAAGUAUUUAUUAAUCUAUAUGUUCACGCAUGUGGUUCAGAGCUGAUAUUUCUUUAGUUGAGCUCUCUCUUUUUAAAAGUGCGGUGGUAAAAUCCUCUAUUAUGAUUCCGCAUCUGCAGACCUUGUUACUUCAAGAUGAGGAGAAUCCAGGUGCAUUCAGCACCAACUGCAGGAGCUGGCAGAAAGCAGGAAGGCUACCCUGAGCCUCUGCUUUUGGAGCCUGCCCACCUGGGAGAGCUCACAGAGGAAACACAUUGUGCCUGCACCCUGACUGCCUGCCCACCAGGAAACCCAGUCAUCUGUCAAGGCAUGGUGUGUGAUCAAGAAAGACAUCUCCUUCCGCCCCAAGCACCACAUCAUUAAUCUCCUGCAACAGCCGGCAGGCCCAAGAGCACCAUCUGUGGAAAAUCGGGUCAUGUGAGGGAGUGUCUACUGGUCUUCUGAGCUGAAUCCCACCACAGAUAGUCAUCACCUCCCUCAGCAGAGGCCCCCGCAGGACAGGACACAACCCACAAGCUCAGGGUCAGGUGGGCAGAGGCAAGCAGAUCCUGCCAGGAGCCUUGAGUGUCUUUGUGGAGGAGGAUCAAGAAGGGUCCUGUGUCCUGCAGGGAUUCGAGGAAAGAGGUGGAAGGAAAGAAGAGAGAACAAAAGAGGGCACAGCCCAGCCAAGACCUGGAGGCCCUGGGGGCUCUUGAAAAAAUGUCCCUCUGCUCUGACGCACACAAAUUUGAAGCUGGAAGGAAACUCAGAAAGAAUUUCCUGCAGUACUUUGUUCUGUUUCUCAGAGAAAACAUAGCAGAAAACUAAGAAUGACCUUACUGCUCACCAGGAAUGAUAGCAACAGGGGUGGCUGUCAGGACCCUGCCUGCACACAGAGCCAGACUCUCUUUCUCCACCCAGAGGCCAGGGCAAGUGUUCUGAGGUAUCACUUCUGUGUGCACAACUUCGCACUAAGAGUACAUGCAUGACAGAUGGCAAGUGAACCAUCAUUUAUAUUAACAGGACAUAGUUAAUGUAAAUUGUGGUUAAAAAAAAAAAGCAUGCAGUGCUGAAAGAUCAUGUAAUCAGGGCACCUAGCUUAGGCUGGGGCUGGGGAGCAGAGAGAACUUUCCUUAGGGUGACACUGGAGCCAAGAUUUGAAGGGUUCACCAGAUAAAAAGCAGGUGGGGAGAGUUCCAGGGAGGAAGGCCCCACUUCCUGUCCCUUUCCCUCUGCCCAGCAAAACAUUGGCUCCAGACAAGCUGACCCCACUUCUUGCCUUCCUGAGAAAUACGGUCUUUACCUCCCUAAGCCUCUGUUUGGGUCCUACCCUAGAGAGUUCCUCUCGCCCAAGAUUUCAGGAUCCCAGCCUCCUCCAAACCCAUCACCAUAAGUGGAGCCCUAGGGCUCUGAUGUCAGCAGCCACAAAAGUAGACACACCACAGACUUCCAGCAAAGAAUGGAUGAACAAACAAACAAAUUAAUGAACAAAUUAAUGAGGAUGCCCAUAAGCCCUGGAAAAAUACAGCACAGGGAAAACCCGGGGUUCCUAUCCUCCUCUGGCAAACAGUGCAUACAAGCCAGGCCCAGGGAGUGUCCUCCAGAAUCCUGAGCAAGAACUCAGACCCUUCUCACAGGUAAGAACAGAGCCAUUUUACAAACUGUUCCCUCUAGGUGCUCCCCUAUUCAGGAAUCAAAAACCUGCCUUAUUGAAAGUCCCUCUUUCUGUUUGUUCUCUUAAACCUCAGCAAAAUCCUCAGUUGCCAUUGUCUCCUUUUGUCAGAGCUUCAUAAGAAAGGAACAAGCUCUCAGUCCUUGGUUUCCAUUUGAAGCAGUGGAGGGUGUCCAGCAGUGAAGGGAUCUAACUAGGUUGAUCUCUAAGGCCCCUACUCUAAUAGGCUAGGAUUCUCCCACAAUGGCUUUAGAAACUUGGCCCUGAACAAGGUCCACAACUUGCCAAGACCCCAUGGCUGACCCAAUGGCUAAGAUCCUGGCCCUGGCUCUGUUCUGGACCACUGACCCACCUUUACAGUCAUUGCCCAGGAGAAACACUGGGCUUCUGUCCCUGCCAACACAAGUGUCUCUAUCCCAGGCCACAGAAAGCCCUCUGUCUGGGGACUUGAGUAACACUUGGUGCUCAAGUACCACAUCUUGUAGCUGACCCACUUGCCCAGCUCCCAGAUCUUUCCAUCUCAGCCUCAUGGGGCAGGCUCCAUGCAGGAGCAGUCCACAUAUCUGUCAUGCCCACACAUUGCUUCUACUCUGUCUGCUACCUGUCUGCUACCCCGGUGAACUUCGGGACUAAUAGGUAAGUAACCAAUAGGCAAGUAUCUUAGACACCAAGUCACCCUUUCAGGGACUCUAAUAACACUUGUGACCCACUGCCUAAACCCAGUACAAAGAGAGAAAAGAGUGAACUCAAAUCAGCCAGCCAAUCACCAAGCACCAUCACAUGACUUCAGUGAUUUAUGUCUGAGGAGGUGCUGAUGAACUGGAAUUUCCCCCACCAAGACAGCUUUCAAUACCUAGGAGUACUGGUGAAUCCCACAAAGUCUUUGUGCUUUCUAGGUAAGUCACAGAUUUGGUCCCCAGAGAAGGCUAUCAAAGAACCUUCUGCUCUUUGUGCUAAACAAUCUUAGAGAAGGAUCUCAGAGCCUCCUUGGAGGGAAAGGAUAACAUCACAACACUGCAGCUAAGGAGUAGGGCACAGUGCAGCCUAGAUGAGGACAGGGAACCAGGUCCCACCAGAGUAGUGAACCAGCAUCCACCUUGCUGUGCAGGGCUUUGUUCAACAAUGACACCUUGUGGCAGCAGCAGAAACAACAGUGCCCCAGCUUGGGCUUUUUCAGCUCUCUACGUUGGUUGUCUGGAAGCAGGCAGGACCAGCACCAAGUCCCUGGGUAGUUCCAGAAUUCUGCCCCAUCUGCGGUGGAGCUAGUGAAGACUGUAGUAGCUCACUGCCAUGUAACCAUGUCUUCUUAUCUCUCCUAACUGGUGUGGGUUGGGGGAGAGGUCCCAGUUCUGUGUGCAUGUUUUGUUUAAGAUUCACAUCCUCCACAAGGCCACAUUCCCUGUUUGCAUUUUGCAGAUGAGGGUAUUCAGGGGUUAACAACCUCCCCCAAGCCACACAUCACAAGUGAGAGGCAACACUGGGGCUUACAUCAGGACAGUUUGACUCUGAGGCCUCUACGUUUGACAAGGCCCCUGCCAUAGCUAAAACCGGAAACUGAAAAGCACCAGUAGCCAUGUUGCCCUCAAGGGUAGCCUCCCUUUAGGUCAGAAUUAAGACUUCCCUGGAAACCAAUCCUGUGUGCACCUUCUCCAGUCAGCUAAGCCUUUGAUGUUUGGCUCACAUGUGGCCCAAGACCUAGAUUGAAGACUAUAUGUGCCACAUGUCAUGGGUUUGAGGAUUUUAUCUGUUUUGUUUUGGUUUUUUUCAUUUUUGCUUAGCUGGUGUAAGCAACAUGCCUAGGCAAUCAGCAUAACUUUUGAGAAUCAAUUUGCAUUCUGUCAGCCUAAGUGUCAUUAACAACCUCCGCUAAUACAGCAGUAAUGAACAUCUGGAAACACCGCAGCUGUAGGGAGAAUGGGGGAUAAAAAAGCACUAAGAUGACAGCUUGUUUUUCACAAGCUAGAUUGGCUCUGUGAAAAUGGGAGAGGCAAACAGACAAAAUAAAAACCAGAAAGAGAGGAGGGGGCGUGCGCAGGGAGUGCUCACUCACAUGCCCUGGGCCCACCUGGAGCUAGACCUCCCACCUGGGGAGGCUGAAAUGCACUCUCAGGGUCCUCCAGCCAAAGGGGCCAGCAACCCAGCCUGGCACAUCCCCAUGAAGAGAAAACCUGCAGCAGGGCUGUCUGGCUGAUGGUGCUGUGAGGUGGCUCAGGGAAGGAGACAUUUUGGCCUGGCCUCAGCCUGUGCAAGAGUUUGUCAGGUGAGCUUGGGCAAUGGACACUGCAGGUGGGCAAGAAGCCUGCUCCUGUGAGGGUGAGGAGUGGGCCAGGGGUGCUGGGUGCUCAGAAAGGACAGAAGCCUGCCAUGGAGUCUGAGAAGCCAGCCAGGAAGUGUGCUUGGCCCUCCUCCACAUGGAAGGGCAACCUGAGUCCUACUCCAGCCAUGUGACAGAUGUAGCAAUGUGCCCGUCCCCGACAGCAGUGUCCACUUUUCACCUCCUCUAGUGUACCUGAGCUCCUUGUGGCUGCCAGCACUACCUACCCCUGAGUUUCAGCAGGUGGCUGGACAGUGCAACUCCAUCCUCUCAGGACCCACACACAGGGAGCAGACCCAGCAGACCGGUGUGAGAGGAGCCCAGAAAGGGCAUGGUGACUGAAGAUGGAUGGCUACUGAGGCUACUCCAAGACUGAAGGCUUAGGAGGAAAGCAGGACCAAUCAGCUCUGUGAGACAGAUGCUCCAUGGGAACAGCGCUCCAGGAAGAGGAACCCAUAGAGUGGCUUCCCAGAGUGCUGGGAUUACAGAUCUUCAAACUCGAUAAUAUCUAUUGCCCUGUCAUCAAGUUCCCUGCCUCCUCAACUCUGCUCACAUUUGCUGGGAAAGAGUCUAAUGAGUUUUUCACUUUAGCUAAUAUACUUUUUUAUCUCCACACUUUCUGUUUUGUUUCUUUACAUAAUUUCUCUCUUCACUGAUACUUCAUACAUAGUCAUAUGCUACUCUUUUGAUAGCUUUUAAGGUUUUUCCCCAUAGUUUCCUUCAACUAGCUGAGCAUAUAAAGAAGUUAAAAUUUUUGUCUUAUAAAAUCAAUGUCUGGACUUUCUUAAAAGAAAAACCAUCUUAAAGGUGGUUUCUGUUGAUUUCUAUUUUUCCGAUUAAGAACUGGAUUUAAUAGUACAAUACAGUAGCUCUGAAAAUCAGAUUCUUCCUACUUUUCAGAGAUUACUCUUUGUUGUUGUUGCUGCUGUUGUUGAGGGCAUAAAUUGUUCAUUUAUUUAGUAACUUUUCCAAAUUAUUUUUGGAAAAUCUUUAUGCUUGAUUGUAUUUAGUCAAUGAAGUCUCUGUUCUAUUAUCUCUGUGGUCAAUGACCUGGCAGAGAAUUUCUUGAAUACCUAAAUCAGG